rnacentral:rRNA from 1 species
GAUGAACGCUGGCGGCGUGCUUAACACAUGCAAGUCGAACGGAAAGGCCCAAGCUUGCUUGGGUACUCGAGUGGCGAACGGGUGAGUAACACGUGGGUGAUCUGCCCUGCACUUCGGGAUAAGCCUGGGAAACUGGGUCUAAUACCGGAUAGGACCACAUUUUGGAUGGUGUGGUGGAAAGUUUUUCGGUGUGGGAUGAGCUCGCGGCCUAUCAGCUUGUUGGUGCGGUAAUGGCCUACCAAGGCGUCGACGGGUAGCCGGCCUGAGAGGGUGUACGGCCACAUUGGGACUGAGAUACGGCCCAGACUCCUACGGGAGGCAGCAGUGGGGAAUAUUGCACAAUGGGCGCAAGCCUGAUGCAGCGACGCCGCGUGGGGGAUGACGGCCUUCGGGUUGUAAACUCCUUUCGCUAGGGACGAAGCGCAAGUGACGGUACCUGGAGAAGAAGCACCGGCUAACUACGUG